GGUGGGUUGGCUUGUCAGGUUGAUUCCGGUAACGAACGAGACCUCAGCCUGCUAAAUAGUAGCUCUCGGUUCGCCGGGAGGCAGACUUCUUAGAGGGACUAUUAGCGACUAUCAGCUAAUUGAAGUAUGAGGCAAUAACAGGUCUGUGAUGCCCUUAGAUGUUCUGGGCCGCACGCGCGCUACACUGACGCAAUCAACGAGCCUCCUGGUCUCGAGAGGACCGGGUAAUCUUGUAAACUGCGUCGUGAUGGGGCUAGAGCUUUGUAAUUAUUGCUCUUCAACGAGGAAUGCCUAGUAAGCGCGAGUCAUCAGCUCGCGU
rnacentral:rRNA from 1 species